UCCAAACCCAUCCAACAUCCUCACAUUAAAGAAUUAAUGUUCUCUUCUGCGAAGUUAUGUUCAAUCACGAUAAGCUCCAUAUCAGCUCUUUUCUACUUUACAACAAAAACUGAAGCUUGGCCGGUGCUAUCCAGCAAAUAAAAUAACCUCUGAAGUUUCUCACCCUAACCCUAUUCAGGAAAUGCAUCUACUAAAGUAAAAGCAUUGUUGCAUUAGUAGACAUUAUGGUUGUAUACUCUUUAACAUUACAGGCAACAGGUAAAGUGUAUGUUCCAGAAAACACUUCCACCUCUACGUCUCCAAGCUGAGCUCAUCAUCUUGCUCACAAUUCUCAGGCGAGGUUGUGUCUGGGAAGAACUCUUCAUUUGGAUACAUCUUCUGAUACAGCUUCAUAGCUGAAUCUAAGAUAUCAUUGUGGUCUAGAUUUCCACUAGGCAUGGGAGUGGAGCUGAUAGAAUCAAAAUGACCCAUUGUAAGCUCCUGAAUAUACAAUGCUCUCCAAAGUAAAGUGGAUUUUGGUCCUGAAUUCUCAAUUUGAUCUGUAGAAAUACUUUCGGGAUUUACAGAAUCAGGACAAGUGAGAAGGGCAUUCAUGGCUGCAUUUAAUAACUUCUUCCCCUCAUGGGCAUCAUCACACAAAGCUGAAACAUACAGCACAAACAUGCCUGGAGGACAAACAGCUAAAUUGCCACCUAACUGGAGAGCUCGAAUUGAUGUAAUCUGCUCAGGAUACAAUGAUCGAGGUGGAUAUACAACCAGGAAAUUUGAUACGUCUGGCUUCAAUGAACUUCUGAUAAUGCAUAUUCCCCUAGCGACCUUCUGUUUAACAUCUCUCAAGCAUAGAAAAUGAAAACGUUCAUGGAAAGAAUCCAAUGGAGAAGAUGAGGCUGAUAGAACUGUUAAGGAUGGAUUCAGAACUAGCUUCUGGCUAAAUAUGUCCUGACCAGAAGCCAAUCUUAUGCCUUUGUACAUGCCACUACUCUUGUCCAUAAGCAAAGCAAUCACUUGCAUUCGCAAAACAUAAACACAGCCUUUGACUGCAGCACGACGACAAAGGGCUGGUGGCAUUUCCCCUUGACCAUAAAUAGGAUAUAUAAAAGCCCCAAGUGCAUUUGUCAACCUGCCAACUGACGAUUGAUAAAGAGCCAAGCGGGCUAUUCCAUCUUUUGUCUUGAGUAGAUCUUUACAUUCCUCUUUGUUGUCCUGGUCAAAAUCUGCCAUGGCUAUAGCAUACAGGAUAAUC
rnacentral:misc_RNA from 1 species